AUUGAACGCUGGCGGCAUGCUUUACACAUGCAAGUCGAACGGUAACAGGCCUUCGGGUGCUGACGAGUGGCGAACGGGUGAGUAAUGCAUCGGAACGUGCCCAGAGGUGGGGGAUAACGCAGCGAAAGCUGUGCUAAUACCGCAUGUGAUCUGAGGAUGAAAGCGGGGGACCAGGCAGCAAUGUUUGGCCUCGCGCCUUUGGAGCGGCCGAUGUCAGAUUAGGUAGUUGGUGGGGUAAAGGCCUACCAAGCCGACGAUCUGUAGCUGGUCUGAGAGGACGACCAGCCACACUGGGACUGAGACACGGCCCCGACUCCUACGGGAGGCAGCAGUGGGGAAUGUUGGACAAUGGGCGCAAGCAUGAUCCAGCAAUGCCGCGUGCGGGAAGAAGGCCUUCGGGUUGUAAACCGCUUUUGUACGGAACGAAAAGGCUCUGGCUAAUACCUGGGGCUGAUGACGGUACCGUAAGAAUAAGCACCGGCUAACUACGUG
rnacentral:rRNA from 1 species